AGCAGGCUGCCUGUGCACAAUUCUGCCGUUUGCAAGACUGUUGGAAAUCCUAUAAACUGACUACGCCACGGAUGAAACUCGAAAUGCUUUUUCAGGCAUGGAUCCUACAACAGUUGCAGUAUUGAAAGCUGCUAAUAUUAGCACAGAAUUGCUUCCCAGUCUGUCUAAGGUGGACUUGCGUGACCUCUUUCCGGGGCCUGAGCACUUUUUCCGAAGGAAAGCCAUUUGGAGGACCACUCAUGGUGAAAAUGAGUGUGAAGAACUGGAGCAGCCUCACCCAGGCACCUCCUCUGGAACUUAUGAUGGUGCCACAAUUCCAACUACCCCAAACGCUUUGUCCACUCCUUCUUCCUUCCCUGCACCUGUCCCCUCUUCAAAGCCAGGAGACAGUGCCAGCAGAACUGUACAGCUUCAAAGUCCACAAUAUGUUGUAUACACAGACACAGAGCUGGAGCUGUCAAGAACCACCUUUUUUGAAAAACAGCGUGCUGGACAAGAAGAAGACUUCACACUCUCCAAAGAGCUUCGCUGUCGCAUAAUAAGGAACACAGUAACAAGCAUGAUCGCCAUAAAGAGAGCUGCAGGCGAUGACUUCCGAUAUCCAAGUAGCCGUGAGCUAACUGCGAUGGCUCAGCGUCUCAUUGUAUACUACCCAAUGCUGCGGGACAGGUCUGCAGCCAGUGGAGCUGAGUGGGAAUCUGUGAAGAAGCAGCUUUUGAGAAGGGUCCAAAAUGUGACAACCCCCAAAAAGAAGCAGGGAGCAACUCCUUCAAGAAAGAGGCGACUGGCCAUCAGCUUUGAGAGCAGCAGCCAUGGGUCACCCACUGAUGACAGCGGGUCCAAUGCUUCAACUUUGAGCUUGGAAACAUCACCGCAGUCUGGAGGCACUUCCCUGGAGGCUGAACA